rnacentral:rRNA from 1 species
AGAGUUUGAUCCUGGCUCAGGGUGAACGCUGGCGGCGUGCCUAACACAUGCAAGUCGAGAGGAGAGGGGGUAGGCGCAAGCCGAGCCCUCUUAGCGGCAAACGGGUGAGUAACACGUGGGUGACCUGCCCCGGCGUGGGGGAUAACCCUCCGAAAGGGGGGCUAAUACCGCAUACGCUCGGCGGGGACGGCCCGUCGAGGAAAGGCCCGGGGAGGAGACGAACCGGGUCGCGCCGGGAGGGGCCCGCGGCCCAUCAGGUAGUUGGUGGGGUAAUGGCCCACCAAGCCGAUGACGGGUAGCCGGCCUGAGAGGGUGACCGGCCACACGGGCACUGAGACACGGGCCCGACUCCUACGGGAGGCAGCAGUGGGGAAUCUUGGGCAAUGGGCGAAAGCCUGACCCAGCGACGCCGCGUGCGGGAAGAAGCCCUUCGGGGUGUAAACCGCUUUUGCCGGGGACGAGAAAGACGGUACCCGGCGAAUAAGGCCCGGCCAACUACGUGCCAGCAGCCGCGGUAAUACGUAGGGGCCGAGCGUUACCCGGAUUUACUGGGCGUAAAGUGCGCGUAGGCGGGGCUCUAAGUCGGGCGUGAAAGCCCCGGGCUCAACUCGGGGAGGCCGCUCGAUACUGGAGCCCUUGAGGGCGGGAGAGGGUGGUGGAGUUCCCGGUGUAGCGGUGAAAUGCGUAGAUAUCGGGAGGAACACCAGUGGGGAAGCCGGCCACCUGGCCCGUCCCUGACGCUGAGGCGCGAAAGCGCGGGGAGCGAACCGGAUUAGAUACCCGGGUAGUCCACGCCCUAAACGAUGCGCACUAGGUAUGGGGGGCUGACCACGCUCUCCGUGCCGAAGCUAACGCGUUAAGUGCGCCGCCUGGGUAGUACGGCCGCAAGGCUGAAACUCAAAGGAAUUGACGGAAGGGCG